UUUUUUUUUUUUUUUUUUAAUGAUUGUAUUUAUUCAUGAGAGACACAGAGAGACAUAGGCAGAAGGAGAAGUAGGCUCCCUGCGGGGAGCCCAAUGUAGGACUUGAUCCAACCUGAGCCAAAGGCAGAUGCUCAACCACUGAGCCACCCAAGCACCCUGAAGCCAAAAUUCCUUAGCACAUAAGGUACUUUAGGACUCCAAAUCACUAUUCUAGUCCCAUUUCCCAGUAAAUUAAGCCCUCUCUCUAGCAGUACAGUUUAUUGCCAAUAUGGUCAGCAUGCUACCUACAGUCAUCAUUUCCCUGAAUUUCCUGCCUUUUUAUUUCCUUAUUUUUCAGGAUAUAAUUCAAAGUCAUUUGUUCUCUAAGAUGGUCCUUCUCACCUAGUAAUAGAGAUUGGUCCCUUUUUUGGUCCAUCACUCUACGACCCUCUGAAACUUAGUUUACUUGUCCAUAAAAUGGAAAUAAAUAAAUAAAUCUUUUUUUCCUACCCAGAAAAAAAGAACAGUUUGAACAAUGCUUAUUUAAUACUGAAAAACUAUAAAUCAAUAUAGAAAUAGUGCAGGCAUAGAUCCAAGAGCUUCAUGGACAUUAUCUUACUCAAUCCUUAAAGAUUAAGCAGGUACAUGAGUAAGUAUAUUCUUAUUUAAAAACAAAAAGAAAAGCAAAAACAAAAACAAGAGAAAAAGACAGAAAACCUUCCUAUUCACAUCAUUACCCAUCUAUGAUACUCCCCUCUCCUCCAAACUGCUUCCACACCUAUUAUUUGAUCACUUCUAAAAAAUGCAUUUUUUCCUAACUUAACAACAUUUAAUUAUUUGACUUCAACUUGUCCACUAUAUAGCACCACAGGUUGUUAACCAGAAAUCUAAAAUUAUGUUCAACUAGAUGAGGUGUUAGAGUCACAUUUGAAGGGUUAAACUGUAUUAAUUAAUUAUGUAAGUUAAGAUUCCUCAGGAGGCUUGGGGCAAAGCACCAAUUCACAGAGCAGGAGGAGAAUGAAACAAAAAGAACCUAAUUAGUCAUGUAAUUAACUCUUUCAGUGAUGUGGUGAUAACAUGAUACAAUAUAAGUGUUAUGAAUAUGCUUAAGGAACAUCAGGGUAUCACUUGAACAUUCUCAAGAAUAUAACCAACACUGGGAUGAGGAUUUGGCCCCUUCAGCCAAAACUUACGGAUUCAUUUAAACUACAUCAAUGUGUUACAAACAUUUACUGACCUUCCACUACUGAGGCAACUUUUUUCCUAAUUAAAUAUAUUAUAUCUAUAUACCUGGAAAUACAGUGUCUGACGAAACACAUUUUUCCCAUAGUUUUCUAUAGGCAGCAAAUCUAAAAGAAUUCAAAGGAAAAAAAUGUGCUUCGUGGAAGUCACUUAUUUCAUUUUGGUGACUAAAUGCACUUGCAGAAAGGAUUACAUUUUGUUUGACAAUUUAUUUUAUUGGCAAAACAUAUUUCAUCACAUAUUCCAUCACAUUCAGUAGACAAAUGCAUGUUGUCAAAUAUCUUAUUUCCUGCCUUUGAUGAAAAACACAUAUUUUUUAGAAUCCAUAUUUUUUUAAAUGGUGGAGUUCUACAGAUAAGCUCCAUUUGCUCUAAAUUGGCCAGGGGUGUCUAGAUUUGGAUUCUAUCCUAAAUAUAUGACUUCCUCUUUCAAUAUAAUGUAAAUUAACCUCAAAGGGAAUAUUAAUGUCCAUCUUCACCACAGAAACAUCGAAAUUCAGUUUACACUGUAACUAUUAUGAUAGGUUCCUUUUGUCUAAACAUAAAAAUCAAAUGGUUCACACACAUUCGCCAGCUGCUAAAAUGCAAUUACCCUUUACAAGGUAACACACAUACAAAGUAAAUAUUUAAUCUAACCUAUUUGUAUAUCCGUUUAAUGUUGAUAAUUCAAUUAUUGUCUUCCUUUUCAUAUUUGCCCUUAUACCUGGUAUACGUAUUAAAUUAUAAAUAUGUUCUUAGAGGUCAAGAAGCAGAUCUGUAUAAUUUGUUCUGAGGAGCACUCAGCACAGUGCUUUAUGAAAAUAGGCGUUUAAUCAAUCGAUGGCCGUGGCACAAUGAUAAUGACCUUUUCCAGCCAAAAAACUUUAAUUGCCAAAACAUUCUGCCUUUUUUCACAUCAAUAAUCAUUUUAUGAGAACCUAUAAUAUGCCACACACCAUAAACAUUUCAAGGGAUACAGAAGUCGACAAUCAUGAUCCUUGCUUUCAAGGGUUCACAAUCUAGAAGGCAGAGUGGGAAUGAAGAUAAGUAAUUGCAAUACAGGCUGAUACAAACCAAAUGGAGUUUGUGUUGGGUCCAUACAUAGUACAAAGGCAAGAGGGAUUAACAUAGUUAAAGUGGAGGAAAGCAGGAUGUGUUUGAUAAACUAACAUGAAUAGAUUUUAAGACUGAAGAGAUGUUCUCCAGUGGAAUGAAGAAAUGCAUUCCAGGAAGGGAAAAACAUGUGUUCUAAUAGAGAAGAAAGAAAUUGUGUGUGUGUGUGUGUGUGUGUGUGUGUAAAUCCACCAUUCUACCAGUAUUACUGUAGUGUGAAAUAUGAGGGGGACCUACCAGAGAAGACAUUGAAA
rnacentral:lncRNA from 1 species